rnacentral:rRNA from 1 species
GACGAACGCUGGCGGCGUGCCUAAUACAUGCAAGUCGUGCGGACCUUUUAAAAGCUUGCUUUUAUAAGGUUAGCGGCGGACGGGUGAGUAACACGUGGGCAACCUGCCUGUAAGACUGGGAUAACGCCGGGAAACCGGGGCUAAUACCAGAUCGUUUUUUCCUCCGCAUGGAGGAAUAAGGAAAGGCGGCUUUGGCUGCCCCUUACAGUUGGGCCCGCGGCGCUUUAGCUAGUUGGCGGGGUAAGGGGCCACAAAGGCAACGAGGCGGAGCCGGCCUGGGGGGGGGGUCCGCCACAAUGGGACUGGGACACGGCCCAAGACCCCACGGGAGGCCGCAGGAGGGGAACUUCCGGAAUGGAGGGAAGGCUUACGGGGGCACGCCGCGGUGGGUGAGGAGGGCCUCGGGUCGGUAAACCCGGUUGCCGGGGAAGAACAAGUUGCGUACGAACAGGGCGGCGCCUUGACGGUACCCGGCCAGAAAGCCACGGCUAACUACGUG